AUUGAACGCUGGCGGAAUGCUUUACACAUGCAAGUCGAACGGCAGCACGGGGGCAGCCCUGGUGGCGAGUGGCGAACGGGUGAGUAAUACAUCGGAACGUGCCCGGUCGUGGGGGAUAACGUAGCGAAAGUUACGCUAAUACCGCAUACGAUCUGAGGAUGAAAGCGGGGGACCUUCGGGCCUCGCGCGAUCGGAGCGGCCGAUGUCAGAUUAGGUAGUUGGUGGGGUAAAGGCCUACCAAGCCGACGAUCUGUAGCUGGUCUGAGAGGACGACCAGCCACACUGGGACUGAGACACGGCCCAGACUCCUACGGGAGGCAGCAGUGGGGAAUUUUGGACAAUGGGCGCAAGCCUGAUCCAGCCAUUCCGCGUGCAGGACGAAGGCCUUCGGGUUGUAAACUGCUUUUGUACGGAACGAAAAGGCUCUGGCUAAUACCUGGGGCUCAUGACGGUACCGUAAGAAUAAGCACCGGCUAACUACGCG
rnacentral:rRNA from 1 species